UACGUAGGGGGCAAGCGUUGUCCGGAAUCAUUGGGCGUAAAGCGCGUGUAGGCGGUUCGGUAAGUCUGCUGUGAAAGUCCAGGGCUCAACCCUGGGAUGCCGGUGGAUACUGUCGGGCUAGAGUGCGGAAGAGGCGAGUGGAAUUCCCGGUGUAGCGGUGAAAUGCGCAGAUAUCAGGAAGAACACCUAUGGUGAAGGCAGCACUCUGGGACGGUACUGACGCUGAGACGCGAAAGCGUGGGGAGCGAACAGG
rnacentral:rRNA from 1 species